CCGAGAUCGCACCACUACACUCCAGAGUGGGUGACAGUGAGAGAGUCCAUCUCAAAGAAAAAAAACAAAAACAAAAAGACAAAACCAAAAACCUCCCAAGAGUUAACAUUAACUGAGCACACAUUAAAUGUUAGGUGUCACACACUGUUCUAUGUAUGCAUAGCUCAGUUUUUAACUUAGGAAGCAAAAUUCUAGUAAUAUUCCUUAUUUUUUUCUGAUGGGGUAAUUGAGGGCAGCUACUUUCAGUAACAUUGAACCCGAUAGCACAUAGUGAAGACUCAUUAUCUUUAUCAAUGAUGCGUCAGUUGGAGGUAAAAAUUAGGUCCUUUUCAAUUUCCAGUGGUGACUGUGCUCCUAGGAAGAUCAGUCGGGGAUACGGUCUUAAAAGUUUAUAGCUUAGGUAGGUAGGAUUAAGUGCAGUGCCUCUCUAGUACACACCUGGAUGUGACCAUUGUGUCCACAUGUUUUUCAAACCUGGCAGGAACAAUAACCCCAUUCAGAAAUGACUUCUAAAAAGGCUAUUUUUACUGUGCUUGGAGGCUUGCGCUUGUAGCCCUAGCUACUCAGGAGACUGAGGAGGGAGGAUUGUUUGAGCCCAGGAAUUCUGAGCUGCAGUGAGCUAUGCCGAUUGGAUUCCUGAACUAAAUUCGGCAUCAAUAUGGUGACCUCCCGGGCACAGGGGAUCACCAGGUUGCCUGAGGGGGGGUGAACCAGCCCAGGUUGGAAAUGGCGCUGGUCAAAACUCCCAUGGUGAUCAGUAGUGAGAUCAUGCCUGUGAGUAGCCAUUAUACUUCACCCUGGGCAACAUAGCAAGAAUCAAUCUCUCUCUCUCUCUUUUUUUUUUUUUAAAGAGCCAACCUUGGGAAGAAAUGCCUUUUUUUUUUUUUUUUUUUUUUUUUUUCUUUUUAAAGGACAUUUCUUCCUAAGGUUGGCUUGUUUUAAGGAUAGCCAAACUUACAGGUUGUUCUAAUUGAUAUACUCAUCUCACCAACACUAAUGUUACUAUUGUUUUUAUUACAUUUCAAAGAGGUCAUCAAAUCCAUAAAAGUUCAGAACUUGGCAAGAAUGGCCAGCCAGUAAAUUCUAGACUUUCUCUUUGAACCCCCAUGUCUUAUAAUGCAAGAAUAUAACCUCUUAAUUGCUCUAUUUGUACUACAUUGUCAUCUUUGGACUUUCCUGGAUACCCUUGACUUCUCUGGUAUUUCCUGUUAUGGUGAGUCUGUCCUAACAACCUUGUUAUAGACACGUUUUUGCACAUUAACAACACUCCAUGGAAGAAGCCCUUUAACAUGAGACUUGUUCAUAAGUAUUCCACUGGCUUUCCAAGUAUAGGAUUACCCUUUGAUUACUUUAUCUGGCUACCAGGACAGAGAAAUUCUUGGGAGCCAACUAGCCAUCGGGUCAUCUAUUUUGCUACAGAUACUACUUUCCAGGUUUAGUCCCCUGUACUUUCAGGUCUUCAGCCUCAAUUUGACUUCCUGGCUUGUUCCGUGAGGAUUUUGGAGUUACGUCAGACUUUUUCAUGGUGGACAACCUGCUGCUUAUUUGGAAGACCUUCUUCAUCUUCAGAAUAUUGAUCCAAGUCCUUUGGGGCCGCUGCUACUGUCAGAGUUGUUUUGAGUUUGGCAGUACCUCUCCAAAGCCUCAAGGAAACCAGCUUUCUUCAAAGAUGAUGAGAAUGCCUUGACAAGAUGAUAGGGACCAGCACUGCACAUUUGUUCCCCAGGGAAUGCUGCAACAUGCAGACAAGGCCCUUGGUCACCUAAUUGACGCAAAGGAACCUCAGGUUGCAGCACAGAAGAUUUUUCAUCGUUGGAAGUUAAGGGGCUGCUUUAUAUUUAUUACUCAGGAGGAGCUGGUAGAAGACUUCAUGUGAGGGAGAAGAAAAGGAAAGAAGUAGCAGGGGACGACUACAACCUCUCUUCAUCUCAGCUUCACAAAGCAUCAUUCAACAAAGGGAUCACUAUUAAGAUCCUCUCCAGACCACAGGUUGCUAUUUUCAAAUGCAUGCUUAGAUUUCUCUUUUCUCUUGUCGCAUUUCAGAAGUUAUUAUACUCACGGAUAUGUAUAUAUGAACAGUUACUUCCCAUACAGCUCCCCAUGUUUACGGAAAAAAAAUUCUUGAAACAUGAUAGAGUACUUGCUCUGUUAGGCCUUCAGUAAUGUUGUGGACCCCCCACUGCUGGAAUAUAGGCCACCAGAGAUGGGUUUGGAUUUCAGCAAUAAAUGACCCAGCUUCAUAGAAGGAGAGUAGUCAGCUGAUUUGAAAGUAACCUCAAUCCUUGUGCUUAUAUUUGUUUACUUUUUCCUUAAGCCUUAUAAGUAAGUCAUAUCACUGAUGAGAUCAAACAAAUGCCAUAACUUUCUCCUUCCACUGGCACUUUUCUUUCCCACAUAUAUGCCUUUGGGAGUCACCCUCUUUCAUUUGCACUUUCUUCCCAUCACUUAAGACCCAGAGAGGCAUGAAUGCUAAGAUUGAGGUUGAAUUUGUCAUAGUUAUGGCUGGAGUUGAAAAAUACUCAAAUUGAUUACUCUGAUGCCCAUACCUUACCUGAUCUCAUGUCAGCCAUUGGAGAUGUAGCCAAGGCCAGCAACUCUGCGAACUCCAGCCCCAGGAUUUGUGCCUGAUAUCUCAACUGGUCAUUAAAUACCAGUAGGAGGGCUUUCCCAUCCCAGGUCCCCCUUUUGAUUUGGUCAUCAGACAUGUCCUUGUUUUAGGAUAUACAGAUAUGAACAGAAACAGUAUCAGGAGGCCUGGUUAGUUUUUGUCUCUCUUGAGGAUGGGCAGGAUAGUGUAUAGGGAAAGUGGAAAUUCUUGUGCAUUUCAAAUACCUUCCUUUUUUGCAGGGGGGAGAUGGAGUCUUUCUCUGUCGCCCAAGCUGGAGUGCAGUUGUGCCAUCUUGGCAUCUUGGCUCACUGCAACCUCUGCCUCCUGAGUUAAAGCGAUUCUACUGCCUCACCUUUUGAAUAGCUGGGACUACAAGCACGUGCCACCACACCAAGCUAAUUUUUGUAUUUUUAGUAGAGACGGGGUUUCACCAUGUUGGCCAGGCUGGUCUUGAACUUCUGACCUCAAGUGAUCUGCCUGCCUCGGCCUCUCAAAGUGCUGGGAUUACAGGCGUUAGCCACCAUGCCUGAAUCAAAUACAUUCCUAAUGAAUCCUCAGGAGACCUUUGCUCACACCUUCUGUCACCUUAUCCUGGCUCUUGCCUCAUUUUUCUUUUCUGGAGUCAUCCUAGGGAAUUUCUUGCUCUCACUGACCUUCCUCCAUUUCUUUCCCCACUUUGAUGAGUUUCAAUAGGUCUUUUUUGCUUUCUGUCAUCCUAAGACAUUUGUCUCCAACAAGUCCCCAUCUGGAAGUUUUAUUGUGAAUGAGUGAAUGAAACCUUAGAGAGUGUUGCGAGUUACAUUCAUGUUGCCCUUGGAUAUAAAAAGAGAGGCAGAUGCAUUUGCUUUUGGGGUCUUAGUCGUGAAUUCUUUGCCUAGGCCAAUGUCCAGAAAAGUUUUUCAUGGUUAUACUGUAGAAAUGUUAUAGUUUCAGGUCUGAGAUUUAAGUCAUUAUUCUAUCUUGAGUUGAUUUUUGUGUAAGGUAAGAGAGAUGGAUUCAGUUUCAUUCUUCUACAUGUGGGCUAUCUACUUUUCCCAGCACCAUUUAUUAAGUAGGAUGUCGUUUCCCCAGUUUAUAUUUUUGUGUGCUUUGUUAACGAUCAGUUGGUUGUAAGUAGUUGGCUGUAUUUCUGGGUUCUCUAUUCUGUUCCAUUGGUCUAUGUGUCUACUUUUAUACCAGUACCAUGGGUACACUAAAAUCUCAGACUUCACCACUAUACAAUUCAUCCUUGCAACCAAAAACCACUUGUACCCCAAAAAUUACUGAAAUAAGUAUUUUUAAAGAUUUUAAAAAUAGAGAGGAAAGAGAAGGAGGCUAUGAAAUUCCACAAUGGAGUUACAAAUGCUUGACAUAAUUUAGUGGAGAUUGGACUUAGAAGCUUACAUGAAUGAGGCAAACCUGAGAUCUCUGAUGUUUGUAAAUGAAGUUAGGAGUGAAUUUACUGCCCUUAGGAAUGGAGGGAGGGAAGGAAGGAGAAAAUGAGAGAUGCCAUAAAUCUGUUACUUCAGUGGAUUUGAAGUAAUCCUUUGAAGCAGGCAAUGAGACUUACUUCAUAAAUCCAUACCUUUUUAAUGUGGAUUAGAGAGAAGGUGUUGCACUGUAAUACCUCUGUUGCUACUGUGAGAGUCAUUGCCAGCCACUAUUCUCAUGUCAAGCUGCCCUUGUGGCGGUUUCUCUUGACCCAAUUUAGAAACAACCCAAAACAAGAUUUGUAACUUAGAGGAAUUCUUUGAUUCUGUGACAAGGGAUCUGUGACUCCCCUUAAAGGGAUCAAGUACACAGGAGAUAGUACAAGUAGUACUAAAUAGCCAGCUUAAAAAAUUGGAUAGGUGAGAUGAGACAGGGACAGUGGACAGAAUGGCUCCAGGCAUCCCCAGACACCACAUCUGGCAUCAGGAAAUAGUACAAUGGAAAGUCUAUCCUUGGACCUACUAUUUGUCAUUCCCCAGGGCAUGAUGGAAUAUCUAGAGUUGCUUUGGAGAAGGGUUGCAAAAUAUUAUUUCAUAGAAGAGAUUUAGAAGAGGGGAAACUCCCAGUUACAUUAGGUGGGCAUUAUAGCUUUUCAAAACAUUGGUUCCCUAUAUGGGUCAUGGAGAUUGAUCCCAGUAUCAGCCUAUGGCUUACUAGGCCAGUUUAACUGAAAGAUUUAAUGUGCUUGGAGGGAUGCUGCCACUUGCACUCUCAUUUUGGCAGAUGUUUAUCACCAGUGAGUGCAGUACCUAAAGGAGCAAGAGGACAAUAAGCACCCAGUGGACAACAGUGUGGCAUUUUGAGUGAAGACAGCAACUGAAAAGAUCAUGGGCUUGGCUAGAUUGGGCUGGGCUUAUUUUUUGAAAGUAAAAAAAAAAUGUUUUCCUUCAUGAUAAAAGUAACAGGUGAUCAUUGUUAAAAAAUAAAGUGCAAAGUAUGCAUUAAAAACUAAAUAAUAUGUAUAAUUUUAUAAGCCAGAAAACAAUAAUUUGUAAUAUUCAGGUGUAUGUCCUUUCAGUCUUUUAAAAAAUUAUGUAUAUAACACAGUUUUAUAACAAAAUUGACAUCAUAUUGUAUAUACCAUUUUAUUAUCUAAUUUUUUCAUUUGAAAAUUCACAAGCAUAUUUCCAUGUUAUCAUUCUUUGAAAAAUACAAUAUUAAGUGCUACAGAGUAUCUUAUGGAUUUAACAAAGUUUAUUUAGAUGAUAUCAUGUUAUUGGACAUUUUGAUUAUUAUCAAGUUUGCUUAUAAAAUUUAAAUGUAAUGAAGAACAUCAUUGUACAUUAACCUUUAUGCACAUCUGUAAUUAUUUAUUUAGAAUAAGGUUCCAGAAUUAAAAUUAUUUGGUUUGGAUGAUGAGAGCAUUUAGUAGAGCAUCUGACAGGUGGUGCUGAGUUUUCCUCAAUACAGUUGUGCAAAUUACAUUCCCACCAGUAGUGUAUAAAUGUGAAUAUCCCUCCAUACAUUCAUCAAAACAUGGCCUUUCUAUUUUUGUAAAUCUCUGCUAAUUUAAUAGGUAAAAAUAUACCUUUAUUUCUUUAAAAUUUUUAUUUAUAAUUUACACACAGUAAAAUUCAUUCUUUUUAGUGUAUGGUUCUAUGGGUUUUGACAAAUGCACAGUCAUGUAUCUUCUACACUAGUACCAUACACAGAAGUUCUGUCACUUUAAUAAUUUCUCUUGGUGGCUCUUUUUGUAUUCAACCCUUUGCCCCAUACUCAGUCUCUGGAAACGAUCAAUUUGUUCUUCAUCUCUAUGGUUUUGCCUUUUCCAGAAGGUCAUAUAAGUGGAAUCAUGCAAUAUGUAGCCCUUUUGGUCUGGCUUCUUUCACUUAGUAAAAUGCAGUCAAGAUUCUCCCAUGUUUUGUGGAUACUUAUUUCAUUCCUUUUUAUCACUGAGUAGUACUUCAUUGUGUGGAUGUACCACAGUUUUAUUAUCCAUUCACUAACUGAUGAACUUGUAAGAUGUUUCUAGUUUUGGUGAAUAUGAAUAAAUUUGCUAUAAACUUUCAGGUAUAAGUUUUGUAUGACAUAAAUGCUCAUUUUUAUAGGGUAAAUGCUUUGGAGUGGGAAUGAGUGCCAGACUGUUUUCUAAAGUUUCCCUAGCAUUUUACAUUCCAAUUACAAAUAUGUGAGAGUUCCAGUAGCUUUGUAUCUUUACCAGUAUUUAGUAAUUUUGUAUUAUACAUAUAUAUGUGUAUAUAUAUAUUCAUUUAAAUUUUAAUCGUUGUUAGAAUUUGUAAUUCCCUAAUGAUACAUGGUAUUAUCUUUUAUUUGUUUAUAAUUGACACAUAAUUGUUUAUGGGAUACAAUGUGAUGUUUCAGUACAUGUGUACAUUGUAUAAUGAUCAAAUCAGGAUAUCACCUCAAACCUUAUGAUGAUCUUAUAGUUAAAGAUGGUAUGUUCUUGCAAAGUGUCUGUUCAGAUCUUUUGCUCCUCUUUUUAUUGGAUUGUUCCUUUUCUUACUGUUUUUAUAUUUUUUUAAAUAUAUUGAUACAAGUCCUUUGUCAGAUACAUUAUUUGGAAAUAGAUUUUCCUAGUCUGUGACUUGUCUUUUCAUUCUUUGAACGCUGCCUUUUUUAGAGCAAAAAUUUUAAUUUUGAUACGAUUCACUUUAUCAAUUUUUUUACUUUUGAUGUGCAAUGUAAGAACACUUGUCUAACCCAGUGUCAUGAAGAUUAUAUCAUAUUUUCAUCCAGAAAUUUUAUAGUUUUAAGUUUUACAUUUCUAUCUAUUAUCCUUUUUGAAUAAAGGUUUGUAUAAAGUUUAGCUAUGGGUCAAGGUUCAAUUUUUAAAAUAUGGUUAUCUAAUUGUUCUAGUACCAUUUGUUGAAAAGAGUUUCUUUUUUAUUGCAUUGCUUUUGCACUUUUGUCAAAAAAUCAAUUGAUUAUAUUUGUUUGGGUCUAAAUCUGGGCUGCCUAUUCUGUUCCAUUGUUAUCCAUUCACAAAUACUACACUUUCCUAAUUACUUUAUAGGAAGUCUUAAAAUUAGAUAGUGUGUACAACUUCAUCCAUCUCAAAAAUCGUGUUGAUUACUACUUUGCUUUUCCAUAAAUUUCAGAAUUGUUGCUUUCUAUCAAAAAUUCUGCUAGUAUAUCUAUUGAGAUUGAAUUAGAUCUAUAGAUGAAUUUGAAGAAAAUUUACAUCCUCACAAUAUUUUGUCUUUAGGCCACAAACAUGAUAUAGCUGUAUAUUUAUUUUGGUCUUGAUUUUUUUCUACUUUCAGCAUAUAGAUCCUGGAUAUAUUUUAUAUUUAUACCAAAUAUUUUAUACAUUUUCUACUGUUGUAAAUGGUAGUGGUUUUUAAAUUUUCAUUCAUUACUAGUAUAUAGAAA